rnacentral:rRNA from 1 species
UACGUAGGGGCCGAGCGUUGUCCGGAGUUAUUGGGCGUAAAGCGCGCGCAGGCGGCCUCGCGCGCCCGACGUGAAAGCCCCCGGCUUAACCGGGGAGGGUCGUUGGGGACGGCGGGGCUUGAGGGCGGGAGAGGGUGGUGGAAUUCCCGGUGUAGUGGUGAAAUGCGUAGAGAUCGGGAGGAACACCGGUGGCGAAGGCGCAUCCUGGACCGGCAUUGACGCUGAGGCGCGAAAGCCAGGGGAGCAAACGGGG